UACGUAGGGGGCAAGCGUUGUCCGGAAUCAUUGGGCGUAAAGAGCGUGUAGGCGGUCCGGUAAGUCGGUUGUGAAAGUCCAGGGCUCAACCCUGGGAUGCCGACCGAUACUGUCGGACUAGAGUUCGGAAGAGGCGAGUGGAAUUCCCGGUGUAGCGGUGAAAUGCGCAGAUAUCGGGAGGAACACCUAUGGCGAAGGCAGCUCGCUGGGACGUUAC
rnacentral:rRNA from 1 species